rnacentral:rRNA from 1 species
UACGGAGGGUGCGAGCGUUGUCCGGAAUCACUGGGCGUAAGGGCGCGGAGGGGGCGCAGGAAGGCAAGGGUGAAAGUUCGGGGCUCAACCCUGAAUCGGCCGUCGAUACUCCUGGGCUCGAGCACUGUAGAGGCAGAUGGAAUUCCGGGUGUAGCGGUGGAAUGCGUAGAGAUCGGGAAGAACACCAGUGGCGAAGGCGGCCGGCUGGGGGUGGCCUGACGCUGAGGCGCGAGAGCGUGGGGAGCGAACCGG